GUCUAAAGUGGAUGAACACUUAGUCACCAUCUUGUUGAGACCCUCUUCCAAAUAUGGUAUCUGAGACUCAGUGGAAAUGUAAUUCUCUGUCCAAGGUCACACAAGGCAGCACCAGUGGAACCAGAAGUCUGGGCUCUGGACUUGCCACCUAUUUCUUCAGUCAUUCAUCACAGAAUUAUUGAACACCUACUAGACUAGAUGCUGGAGAUGUAAUGGCCUCCAUUCUUCAUGGCUAUUGGUCAGAGACCUGCAUUCCUUGACACACAGAUUCCUCCAUAGCCUGCUUGAACAGCCUCGUUUCAUGGCAUCUGACUUCCCACAGAAGAAGUGAUUCAAGAGGGAGAGAAACGUGAGCAGUGUGGAACAAUGCUCUCAGACAGGGAGGAGAGAGUCAAUUUGGG